CUCUGUGUGUUUCUAUCAGAAUCUCAGCUCCCGAGAGCAGGGUUCUGGUAUGUUGUUCCUUAUCUCUGUGACUAGAGGACUUUACAGCACAUGAUGAGGGCUCAACAAAUAAUCCUUGAACAAGACUUAAUACAUGAGAAGAAGACGAAGAAGAAGAAGAAGAAGAAGAAGAAGAAGAAGAAGAAGAAGAAGAAGAAGAAGAAGAAGAAGAAGAAGAAACCUUUGGGUUGAAGCCACUACUUUGUGUACUAAUAUAAGCUUCCCAUGCCAUUGUCUCUUUCAACACAUCAUGCUCUUUGUUUCUCCUCCUACCUGAUGGAAUUAGUUUACACUGACUGAAACAUUAAAGAAACUGCCAGAGAAAAAACAACCAGCGUUUGCUUUGUGGUUUUCUACUUCAGAUUUUCGAACUUUGUGUAUAUCAGGCAUUUGGAGUCUGAAGGGAAUCAUUUAGUGAGAACUCAUGCUGAGGACAUGAAGAAACAUAAAUAUGACAGGCUGUUUCCAAUUAGAGGAGAAUCAGUUUCUAUCUUCACUCACAAAAACAAACAGGAAUCUUUCCUACGCUAAUAAGAGGCUCUUUCAGUGAUGAGAUGGGAAGUAAGAGUAAUGACACCUCUGCCCAAUUAUUCCCCCUGAGAAGCCAGGACAAAACAAGGACACUAACAACCACUCCGAAGCUGCAGGUGUCCAUCUAUCUCCGAUAGAGACAAGAAACAUCUGAAAAUCCAGACUGUGACACAGGAUGGUAGAAAGUAGGCUUGAAUGAAAAUGCAGGAUGGAUUCUUAGCCCCAGUUGUGCAGAUGAGAGAUGUUUGAAAAAAAGAAAAGAGAAGAAGAAGAAGAAGAAGAAGAAGAAGAAGAAGAAGAAGAAGACAACAAAACUUCUUUCAGCCCUUACAGUGUUCCUGACAGCUUAUACCUACAAAAUCGACCCUAUAGUAUUCGUUAUUAUUUCAAAGCAUUAGCAACCGUGACCAGUGUAGAGUCUUGGGCUUGUGGUCCUGACUCAGUGCAUGAGUGAGUGUUAGUGAGCGGUUUUCUUUUGGGAUUCUGUGUCCUCAUUUAGAGAACAAGGAAUUACCACUGUGACCAGCCAUCCUCAGAAAUCCCUAUCAUCCCCUGAUGGCAGCUUUUGGUUAUGACCAAGCCAUGAUGGAAUUAUGCUAAUUAGCUGGGUUUCCUGGCCUUAGUGAUCCCAGUGGCCACCACCCCUGCUCAGAUCAUUUUCUCACUUCUCUCACUGUUUGUAUCUCCACAGCUUUCUUCCCUUUUUCUGCCUCAAAUGUGAGAAACAGAAAUUCAUAUAAAUCUCUUUGUUUUUGUUUGUUUGUUUCUUGACGUCCUGGCUGCUUUCCAAGACAAAGCUGAAGAACACAGCUAAUAAAAAGCAGGAAGAAUUGGUGUUUUCCAGGGCAUCCAACUACACACUACGUGCUAUCUGGCUCUGAGGUUCUUUUCAGGACCCAGGACUUUUGUAAACCAGGACAGACCCGGGGAGACUGUAAAUGUAAGAGCUAGGCUUUCUGAGAUAAGCUUGACACCACAAAGCCCUCACUAAAAUUUUUGAAGCUCAACACUUAAGAAUUGGCCUUUUUUUUUUUUUUAAACUGGGUUUUCCUGUGACAACCACAUCCCAGGUCAGUAAAUGCCACUGAAUAAAUGAGGGAAGAGAGAAGGUAAGAAGAUGUGAGGAUGGAACAUAAAAUAUAUUGUAUUCUUCUGUAGCUCUGCUCGAUAGCUUGAGGAGGAAAAUGAUUUUGUGAUUGUCCCAUUCUAGUCUAGAUCUAAGCAAUGACAAAGGAGAUAUGAAAUGUGCUUAAAGCACAGACUUAAUGCAAAAAAAAAAUGAGAAGAGAAGGGAAUAGGA